UGUUAUAUCACGAUCAAGAGAGUUCUGAGGGAGAGAAAUCGUGGGAAGCAAGCUUAGAGAGAGAAAGAACCGUUUUUUUUCACAAUACCUAGAGAGAGAAAGUAUAAUUUCGGGUUUGGGAAGCUUAGGGAAAAUCUGGGUUGUUUUGAUCAUUUUAGAUACAUUAUUUAUGAUCUAAGGAAGGUUUUUGAUGUGGUAAAAUGUAGUGCACCAAAUUUUUUUUUUAGAUUAUUUAAAUUUUUGCGUUUUAUUUUAUUUAAAUGUUAAGUGUGAUGAAUUGUUUUAUUUAAGUGUUGUUAUUUUAUUUAGUUAAUUGUUUGUUUUAUUUGAUUGUUUAUUAUUUUAUUUAAUUGUUAGAAUUGUUUGGUAUAAUCUUUUGAAUUUAAAUUUGUUAAUUGUUUGUUUGGUUAAUUAAUUUAAUAAGUGAAUAGUGUGUAACAUGUGUUAUUUUACUAUUAGUGUUACAUUUUAAAUAAAUGUGACAAUUGAGGUAAUUAUGUGAGUUAUGAUUGAAUGCACUAAGGUGCAUGGUAGAUAGUGAUGCACUCUAGUGUUUUAGUGUGUGCUAGUACAUGGUAAUAAGGUGCACAUGUGUGGAUUUUCUACACAUUUUAUAAUUGCCAUUUAUGAUAUUUUUGGGUAGUUUAUUUUAAUAAGUAGGGAAUUAAAGAAAAAUAAAAUAAAAAUAAAGGAAAUGGCAUGUAGUGUGGACGUGUAUGUGUAGUGGGAAAAGAAUGGUUUAUUCCAUUUAUUUUCUUGAUUCAAUUAAAUUAAAAUUAGAAGACCAUGGUUAUUUUAGGUAAGGAUGUGAUCAUCUUUUUAUUCCUUGCCAUUUAAAGAUAAAAAUAAUUAUACAAAAAUUAAGAGAAAAUAUGGAGAGAAUAGGAAACUUACCUUUUCUUUUUAUUAAGCCAUUAUGAGAGAAUAAGGAUAAAGGGGAAAGGAAAGAGGGGAAGAGCCAUUUGCUCUUGUGGCUGCCGAAAUUAGAGAGAGAGAGAGAGAGAGAGAGAGAGUGGCGUGUAGAGAGAGAGGGAGAAGAAGAAAGAAAGAAAGAAGAAGAAGGUGAAGAGGAACCCAUCUUAGAGCUUGAACAAGGGUGUGAAGUUUGGGUGUUGAUCUUAUUGUGUUCUUGAUUUUACAAUCAAGAGAGGUAGCAAAUAGGAUUUCUUUAUGGCACGCGUGGUGACGUGAGGAGUUCUAUCAUCAUGGGGUGUAUGGCGUGGGGUAAUCC